UGAGCCCAGCCCAGUCCCAGGGAAGCUUGGCUCUCCAGGGUGCCUUCACGCCCUCCCAGUUCUGUUCAGGCAGAAGUUUCUCAGCCCAUGGAACUAGUGAGCCCACAUCAAAGAGGCUACAGAACAAGAUGGAGAGCCUGCAAAACCUGGUGGAAUCAUCUCAGAUAAAAAACCAAGCCACCUCUCCAAUGAUCAGAACUCAGGAGGUGAAGACAAAGAAAUGCAAGGAAAAGGAGAGAAAGCUGUCCAAGUGAAGGCACUGUAUGCAUUAGUGAUUGCUUUCAUGUAGAUCCAUUGUGUUUAAGUUGGUUUUAAAUAUUAAUAAUAAAAGCCCUUACAAUUUUUAAAUUAUUGUUUAU
rnacentral:lncRNA from 1 species